CCACGCUCGUCCUGAUUUUGCCAAGUGCUAGUUGUCCUGAGACCAACAUAUUUUAUGAUGACCCAGGGACAACAUCUCUAUCAGCCAAUCAAAUGUUAUUACGUCAUCAUUAUGAGCCUCCUGCAGAGUCCGCCAAAAAACGCAAAUUCAAAUAAGAAAACACACCCACCCACACACAGGCAACUGCCAUUUUCACCAGUGAAGAGGACAGGUGAAGAGGACAAGUGAAGAGGAGGAGCAUUGAACAAGAUAAAUGUGCAAAACCUGGGCCUUGAAUCAUGCUUUGAUUUGGCAACUCAUUUCUUGGAACCUCUCGCAGUUGAUGUUUUCUUCUUCCUUUCUAGAGGACUGCCUGAAAUAAGCUUAGUACACAACUAAGGUGGUAAACAAAAACAAAACUCAGAUUACGUUUUUACAAUUAGAAUUUUAUUUCAUUUUAGACAGUUGUUCUAUUGUAAAUGUUAUGUUCUAAACUGAUAUCAGAUAUACUGUACAAAAUAAAAU